rnacentral:ncRNA from 2 species
UCACAGCCCAGUGGUGAUUUGGCCGGUCGGUUGCAGCCACUUUAAAGAAAUUGCUAAAGACCGUUUUCAACCGGCC